rnacentral:rRNA from 1 species
UACGGAGGGUGCUAGCGUUGUUCGGAAUUACUGGGCGUAAAGCGCACGUAGGCGGAUCAGCCAGUCAGGGGUGAAAUCCCGGGGCUCAACCCCGGAACUGCCCUUGAUACUGCUGGUCUGGAGUUCGAGAGAGGCGAGUGGAAUUCCGAGUGUAGAGGUGAAAUUCGUAGAUAUUCGGAGGAACACCAGUGGCGAAGGUGGCUCGCUGGCUCGACACUGACGCUGAGGUGCGAAAGCGUGGGGAGCAAACAGGAUUAGAUACCCU